rnacentral:rRNA from 1 species
UGACGACCGGCGAACGGGUGCGUAACGCGUAUAGAAUCUGCCUUGUACAGGAGGAUAGCCUUUAGAAAUGAAGAUUAAUACUCCAUAAUGUUGAGAAAUGGCAUCAUUUUUUAAUUAAAGAUUUAUCGGUACAAGAUGACUAUGCGUCCCUUAAUUUAGCUAGAUGGUAAGGUAACGGCUUACCAUGGCAACGAUAGGUAGGGGGUCUGAGAGGAUUAUCCCCCACACUGGUACUGAGACACGGACCAGACUCCUACGGGAGGCAGCAGUGAGGAAUAUUGGUCAAUGGAGGCAACUCUGAACCAGCCAUGCCGCGUGCAGGAAGACUGCCCUAUGGGUUGUAAACUGCUUUUAUACAGGAAGAAACUUAGUUACGUGUAACUAACUGACGGUACUGUAAGAAUAAGCACCGGCUAACUCCGUG